GUGUCAGCCGCCGCGGUAAGACGAACCGUGCGAACGUUGUUCGGAAUCACUGGGCUUAAAGGGCGCGUAGGCGGGUGACCAAGUCCGGGGUGAAAUCCUCCAGCUCAACUGGAGAAGUGCCUCGGAUACUGGUUGUCUUGAGGAGGGUAGGGGCAUCUGGAACUAGCGGUGGAGCGGUGAAAUGCGUUGAUAUCGCUAGGAACUCCGGUGGCGAAGGCGAGGUGCUGGACCCUUUCUGACGCUGAGGCGCGAAAGCCAGGGGAGCGAACGGGAUUAGAUACCCCGGUAGUCCUGGCCCUAAACGAUGAGAACUAGAUAGUGGCUGUGAUAUGCAAUCACUGUCGGAGCAAAAGUGCUAAGUUCUCCGCCUGGGGAGUAUGGUCGCAAGGCUGAA
rnacentral:rRNA from 1 species